rnacentral:rRNA from 1 species
CUGGGAAAUUGCCCAGUCGAGGGGGAUAACAGUUGGAAACGACUGCUAAUACCGCAUACGCCCUACGGGGGAAAGCAGGGGACCUUCGGGCCUUGCGCGAUUGGAUAUGCCCAGGUGGGAUUAGCUAGUUGGUGAGGUAAUGGCUCACCAAGGCGACGAUCCCUAGCUGGUCUGAGAGGAUGAUCAGCCACACUGGAACUGAGACACGGUCCAGACUCCUACGGGAGGCAGCAGUGGGGAAUAUUGCACAAUGGGGGAAACCCUGAUGCAGCCAUGCCGCGUGUGUGAAGAAGGCCUUCGGGUUGUAAAGCACUUUCAGCGAGGAGGAAAGGU